rnacentral:misc_RNA from 1 species
AUUGGUAUGAGAAGCUUCCAGGAACUUCCUGUGCAGGGCAAAAGCUCUUAGCACUGGUUCUUCUGGUAAAUUUUGGGAGGAGGGUCUUCGGACCCUCUUUUUUUUUUUAUUUUUUUU